AUGAACGCUGGCGGCGUGCCUAAUACAUGCAAGUCGAGCGAACAGAUGAGGAGCUUGCUCCUCUGACGUUAGCGGCGGACGGGUGAGUAACACGUGGAUAACCUACCUAUAAGACUGGGAUAACUUCGGGAAGCCGGAGCUAAUACCGGAUAAUAUAUUGAACCGCAUGGUUCAAUAGUGAAAGACGGUUUUGCUGUCACUUAUAGAUGGAUCCGCGCCGCAUUAGCUAGUUGGUAAGGUAACGGCUUACCAAGGCAACGAUGCGUAGCCGACCUGAGAGGGUGAUCGGCCACACUGGAACUGAGACACGGUCCAGACUCCUACGGGAGGCAGCAGUAGGGAAUCUUCCGCAAAGGGCGAAAGCCUGACGGAGCAACGCCGCGUGAGUGAUGAAGGUCUUCGGAUCGUAAAACUCUGUUAUUAGGGAAGAACAAAUGUGUAAGUAACUAUGCACGUCUUGACGGUACCUAAUCAGAAAGCCACGGCUAACUACGUG
rnacentral:rRNA from 1 species